CAUGCUGGUCCGGAGUUUCCUUCGGUUUUCUGCUCAGCCCUCCUCGCACUUGUGACUUUCCGCACUCUUUUCUAGUUUUCUUCCUCUCUCCCUCCGAUGAUCCAUUCGUGUAAUAACCUCUCUCUCUCUCUCUCUCUCUCUCUCGGUAUAAUCCCACAAAACAAGAUGAAGAGAGAAAUUCAGUUUUCGGACAUCUGUGUUUUUGAAACCGAACAAUCGAUUAGAUGAAGCUUUCCUGAUUUUCUCCUCCCCUUUUUUCAGGGUGAUGUAGGGGUAGGUUGACUGCAGUCACACCAUUGCAGAUUAAACAGAGUAGAUUGUUAUUUUAUGCGCUCCUGAUAUUUAUUGAACCACCAAAUGGGAGGAGUUUGUUCAAGGAAGCGAGACCAGCAGGUCAAUGAAGAGAGUAUAAGGAGAGGAACCUCUGGGAGAUAUUCCAAAAGUGGAAGUUCAAAAUGGUUGGGGACCUUAUUUCUCCGUUCUUCUGUAGAUAUUCAACAGAGAGGAGGCAAAUGCCCAUCUCUCAUGGAACUUUGUAUUCAUAAAAUACGGGAGAACAUCAAUAAUUAUAAUACAUUUUCAAUGCUCCCAAGGGAUAUUAGUCAGCAGAUCUUCAAUGAAUUAGUGAGUUUCCAUUGUCUGACUGAUGUUUCUCUCGAAUCUUUUCGGGAUUGUGCUCUUCAGGAUAUUUGUUUAGGAGAAUAUCCUGAAGUGAAGGACAGUUGGAUGGAUGUUAUUGCUUCACAAGGGCCUUCUUUGUUAUCUGUUGAUUUUUCCGGUUCUGAUGUAACGGAUUCUGGGUUGGUUCUCCUCAAAGAUUGCAAAAACCUCCAAGCCUUAACUUUAAAUUAUUGUGAUGAGAUUUCAGACCAUGGACUAGAACACAUUAGAGGUCUUACAAAUUUGACUGCUUUGAGUUUAAAAAAGAACAGUGCUAUCACUGCUGAAGGAAUGAGUGCUUUUGCCAAUCUAGUUAACUUGGUAAAAUUGGAUCUUGAGCGGUGUUUAGGGAUUCAUGGUGGACUCGUUCAUCUUAAAGGUUUGACAAAGCUUGAAUCUCUUAACAUCAGGUGCUGUAAUUGCAUAACAGAUGCAGACAUGAUGCCUCUUUCAGGGCUUACAAAUUUAAAAGAGUUGCAAAUUUCAUGUAGCAAAGUUACAGAUGCUGGAGUUGCUUACUUGAAAGGUUUGCAUAAGCUUGUUCUGUUGAACAUGGAGGGAUGCCCUGUUACUGCUGCAUGCUUGGAGUUGCUUUCAGAGCUUGUUGCCCUGUCAUACUUGAAUCUUAACAGAUGCAAUUUAUUUGAUGACGGAUGUGAGAAUUUUUCUGGACUUGAAAAUUUGAAAGUAUUGAAUUUGGGGUUCAACAACAUAACAGAUGCAUGUUUGGUACACCUGAAAGGUUUAAAAAAUUUGGAAAGUUUAAAUCUAGAUUCAUGUAAGAUUGGCGAUGAAGGGUUGGCUAACUUGGCAGGCCUUCUGCACUUGAGAAUUCUGGAGUUGUCUGAUACUGAAGUUGGGAGCAAUGGGCUGCGCCAUCUAUCUGGUUUAGUUAACCUGGAAAGUAUAAAUUUGUCAUUUACUGUGGUUACGGAUAAUGGUUUAAGAAAGCUAUCCGGAUUGACAUCUCUCAAGUCACUUAAUCUAGAUGCUCGCCAAAUUACAGAUACUGGUCUGGCGGCUCUUACAAAUUUGACUGGGUUGACCCAUCUGGAUCUUUUUGGGGCUCGAAUUACAGACUUUGGAACGAACUGUUUGCGCUAUUUCAAGAACCUCCGCUCCCUAGAGAUAUGUGGUGGAGGGUUAACUGAUGUUGGUGUGAAGAAUAUCAAGGAUCUUACUUCCUUGGCACUACUAAAUUUGUCACAAAACUGCAACCUCACAGACAAAACCUUGGAAUUGAUUUCAGGACUGACUGCGUUGGUCUCCCUUAAUGUUUCAAAUUCACGUAUAACCAAUGCGGGAUUGCAGCAUUUGAGGCCUUUAAAGAACUUAAGGUCGCUGUCUCUGGAAUCAUGCAAGGUCACAGCUAGUGAAAUGAAGAAGCUUCAGACAAUUUUCCUCCCUAAUCUUAUAAGUGUUCGACCUGAGUAGUUCUCAAUUAAGCAUGAGAGGAUGCUAUGUAAAUAUCCUUACAACAAUUGGUGAACAACCAUGUACAUGGUGUAAAUAUUUCUCAAGUGUGGGGAAAGCAAGAAUCUGCCAUAUGUGAAGCUUUCUUGCAAGCAAUGAACCAGAAAGUGUAAAUAUACUUCCUUGGCAUGAUCUACAGCUAAUUCAUGGUUUAUGGACUUGAAUCGGAUAUUACGCUUCUGAACCUGUAAAGUGGUGUUAUUCCGAUUUCCGAGUGUGGAACACCUAUGUAAUGUGGAAGUUGGAACAUUAAUGAUUUUGGGCCGUUACUAGGGGUAUCCUUGAAAUGUUCAUACGAGAACUGUAAAUGGAUUGAUUACUAGGCGUUGGGAAUACAGACCUGGGUCAUCUCACUUGGCUAUUGGCAAGAAACGAGGAUUGGAUUAGGGCCUUGUCUAGGACACUGGAUUUCAUUUUCCUCCUCAGAGAUGGUAUAAACCCUCUUAUGGGGUCGUGGUAGCUAUUGAGAAUUUCA